UACGAAGGGGGCUAGCGUUGCUCGGAAUCACUGGGCGUAAAGCGCACGUAGGCGGACUCUUAAGUCGGUGGUGAAAUCCUGGAGCUCAACUCCAGAACUGCCUUCGAUACUGAAAGUCUUGAGUCCGGGAGAGGUGAGUGGAACUGCGAGUGUAGAGGUGAAAUUCGUAGAUAUUCGCAAGAACACCAGUGGCGAAGGCGGCUCACUGGCCCGGUACUGACGCUGAGGUGCGAAAGCGUGGGGAGCAAACAGG
rnacentral:rRNA from 1 species